GUUUUGUUGUUGUUAAUUUGCAGGCUGCUGAUGGAAUUUCAUUCCUUUGACUUCUAGAUUUCUUGUUAAGAGCUGCUCCCUAAGAAGAAUACUAUAAGGACAGGUGACCACGUUGGCAGAACCAAGGGGUGUAGGCACAGCACGCAAAGUCUGCAGAUAGCCAGCCUACCCUGAAGCUCACGAGCAACCUCCUGGAAAGAUGCGUCAGUGGUAGAAAGAUGGCUCUGCUGAGAUGAGCUCUUAAUUAAUGCACUGAGAGGCUGCGAGUCCCACCUCUCAACAGGAAUGAUUGACGUCCAAGGAUACAUAAAUUACACUAAUUGAGCUCUGCCUCUACAUAGGUUUUCCACAGCCAACUCAUCAGAGAAGCUAGGCUUGAAUCACAACCAAUACCUUUGCUUGUCAGCUCUAAUGAGGAGACAACCACAACAUUGAGAGAGCACACACCUUUUUGGUAAGUAGCAUAUAAAUUUCUAAAUCUGAUGAUAAACACAAAGCUAAUGUUUAUGCUCCCAUUUUAUUCAAAUCCCUAUUUAAUAAACAUUUUAGAUGUUCACUUAUAUUUUC